rnacentral:misc_RNA from 1 species
AACGCAACUUGCGCCCUCUGGUAUUCCGGAGGGCAUGCCUGUUUGAGUGUCGCGAACACCUCAACCCUCCAAUGUUUUUUUUGCAUUGCAGGUGUUGGUAGUGAGCGCUGCCGGUUUUUGGAUCGGCUCGCUUUAAAAUCAUUAGCUGGAUCCAUUCUGACCUGGUUCUACUCGGCGUAAUAAGUUAUUAUCGUCGAGGACGCCUGGCCUUGUAGGCAGGGCGGCCACAGUAAGGGUGUUUGAACCGCUUCCAACACGUCUUGCUCUUGUAGCAAACACUUGAACCUCUGACCUCAAAUCAGGCAGGACUACCCGCUGAACUUAA